UCGUAUUUGUAUUUUAUUAGUUGUUCUUCGUAGUAUUUUUUUUGCUGCUUUUAUUACGUGGUUAAGCUUAUUUUUGUAUUGUUUGUAUUUGUUUUCAUUCUUUAUUGUAGGAUGAUUUAAGUAUUUUUUAUAUAGCUUGUUUUUCUUCGUGAUAGACUUGACAAUGCAAUUUGUUAUCCAUGGACUUUUUUUUUUGUCAAUAUUUUUUUUACCUUCUUUUUUGUCAGUGGAAAACUUUUUUCAUAGACAGUUGAAAAUAUGUCAAAGAAUCUAUUAUAGGACUCAGUGGUGUCAUUGCUAGAAAGAACAUUUUCCCAUGACGUACUUUUGAUUGUGUCAGUGAAUGUUUU